rnacentral:rRNA from 1 species
GAGUUUGAACCUGGCUCAGGAUAAACGCUGGCGGCGCACAUAAGACAUGCAAGUCGAACGAACUUAAUACCUUGCUUGCAAGGUAAGCGGUUAGUGGCGGACUGGUGAGUAACACGUAAGAAAUCUGCCUAUCAGAGGGGAAUAACAGUGAGAAAUCACUGCUAAUACCGCAUAUGCCAUAGUCAUCGCAUGAUGAUAGUGGGAAAGAAGCAAUUCGCUGAUAGAUGAGCUUGCGGCUGAUUAGCUAGUUGGUGGGGUAACGGCCUACCAAGGCGACGAUCAGUAGCCGGACUGAGAGGUUGAACGGCCACAUUGGGACUGAGAUACGGCCCAGACUCCUACGGGAGGCAGCAGUCGGGAAUAUUGCGCAAUGGAGGCAACUCUGACGCAGUGACGCCGCGUAUAGGAAGAAGGUUUUCGGAUUGUAAACUAUUGUCCUCAGGGAAGAAAAAAGACUGUACCUGAGAAGAAAGCUCCGGCUAACUACGUGCCAGCAGCCGCGGUAAUACGUAGGGAGCAAGCGUUAUCCGGAAUUAUUGGGUGUAAAGGGUGCGUAGACGGGAUAACAAGUUGGUUGUGAAACCCCUCGGCUCAACUGAGGAACUGCAACCAAAACUAUUAUUCUUGAGUGCAGGAGAGGAAAGUGGAAUUCCUAGUGUAGCGGUGAAAUGCGUAGAUAUUAGGAAGAACACCGGUGGCGAAGGCGACUUUCUGGACUGUAACUGACGUUGAGG